GAGUUUGAUCGUGGCUCAGGACGAACGCUGGCGGCGUGCCUAAUACAUGCAAGUAGAACGCUGAAGGAGGGAGCUUGCUUCUUCUGGAUGAGUUGCGAACGGGUGAGUAACGCGUAGGUAACCUGCCUGAUAGCGGGGGAUAACUAUUGGAAACGAUAGCUAAUACCGCAUAAGAGGUAAUAACACAUGUUAUUGGUUUAAAAGGGGCAACUGCUCCACUAUCAGAUGGACCUGCGUUGUAUUAGCUAGUUGGUAAGGUAACGGCUUACCAAGGCGACGAUACAUAGCCGACCUGAGAGGGUGAUCGGCCACACUGGGACUGAGACACGGCCCAGACUCCUACGGGAGGCAGCAGUAGGGAAUCUUCGGCAAUGGGGGCAACCCUGACCGAGCAACGCCGCGUGAGUGAAG
rnacentral:rRNA from 1 species